rnacentral:rRNA from 1 species
AACGAACGCUGGCGGCAUGCCUAACACAUGCAAGUCGAACGAGACCUUCGGGUCUAGUGGCGCACGGGUGCGUAACGCGUGGGAACCUGCCCUUAGGUUCGGAAUACCUCCCCGAAAGGGGUGCUAAUACCGGAUAAUGUCUUCGGACCAAAGAUUUAUCGCCUUUGGAUGGGCCCGCGUUGGAUUCGCUAGUUGGUAGGGUAAAAGCCUACCAAGGCGACGAUCCAUAGCUGGUCUGAGAGGAUGAUCAGCCACACUGGGACUGAGACACGGCCCAGACUCCUACGGGAGGCAGCAGUGGGGAAUAUUGGACGAUGGGCGCAAGCCUGAUACAGCAAUGCCGCGUGAGUGAUGAAGGCCUUAGGGUUGUAAAGCUCUUUUAGCCGGGAUGAUAAUGACAGUACCGGGAGAAUAAGCACCGGCUAACUCCGUG